rnacentral:rRNA from 16 species
GACCUCGGAUCAGGUAGGGAUACCCGCUGAACUUAAGCAUAUCAAU